UUUAUACUUUCUCCAUCUGCAAAUACUUGUCAUCAAAAUGAAUAGAAGGAAAUGUAUUUAGAUGUAUUUUAGUUCUAGAUAUAUCUUUUUAUCCAUUUUGAUGAAAAGUAUUUUCAGACAGAAAAAGUAAGUC
rfam:Triticum aestivum genome assembly, contig: Triticum_aestivum_CS42_TGACv1_scaffold_556565_7AL